rnacentral:rRNA from 1 species
GACGAACCGAGCGAACGUUGUUCGGAAUCACUGGGCUUAAAGGGCGCGUAGGCGGGUGCUCAAGUCCGUGGUGAAAUCCUCCGGCUCAACCGGAGAACUGCCUCGGAUACUGGGUGCCUCGAGGGUGGUAGGGGUAUGCGGAACUAUCGGUGGAGCGGUGAAAUGCGUUGAUAUCAGGAAGAACACCCGUGGCUAAGGCGGCUCUCUAGUACGGUACUGACGCUGAGACGCGAAAGCGUGGGGAGCGAACAGG